GUGGGGAAUAUUGGACAAUGGGCGAAAGCCUGAUCCAGCCAUGCCGCGUGUGUGAAGAAGGUCUUCGGAUUGUAAAGCACUUUAAGUUGGGAGGAAGGGCAGUAAGUUAAUACCUUGCUGUUUUGACGUUACCGACAGAAUAAGCACCGGCUAACUUCGUGCCAGCAGCCGCGGUAAUACGAAGGGUGCAAGCGUUAAUCGGAAUUACUGGGCGUAAAGCGCGCGUAGGUGGUUUUGUAAGUUGGAGGUGAAAUCCCCGGGCUCAACCUGGGAACUGCCUCCAAAACUGCAUGACUAGAGUACGGUAGAGGGUAGUGGAAUUUCCUGUGUAGCGGUGAAAUGCGUAGAGAUCGGGAGGAACAUCCGUGGCGAAGGCGGCCAUCUGGACCAGCACUGACACUGAGGCACGAAAGCGUGGGGAGCAAACAGGAUUAGAAACCCGAGUAGUCC
rnacentral:rRNA from 1 species